CGCAUAUGUAAGCUUGCAAACCAAACAUACGCUCGUAAACUUAACGAGUGGGUUAAGUUUUACUCUUGUCAUUCAAGGAAUUGGGGAAAAAAACAAAUAAAAGUAAAAUGCUUUCUUCACUAAUAUUUCCUCUCUGUAGGCUUUCAUUUUAAAUAGACGUUAAAGUAAUCCUGCCACAAGAAACCCAGUUGAAUAAAACAGAAUCUGAGUUGAUUUUGCAAAAGACAUCCAACCAAAAACUCAUCCCAACAUGUUGUUCUAACUCCAAAAACAAGGUGCAUCACUUGAUAUACAGCUAUGAGUUGACAGCGUAAUAAUUCAUUAAAGAAAUCAAAUGCAGUUAAUUACAUAUACCUAGCUAGGCGCUAGAAUCACAAGGAGCAUCCGCAACAAGCUUGAAUUCCUGAACCUCCUUAAAAUUCAACCAUGGCUUCACCCACACCUUGGCUUCAUACACUUUCUUGUGACCCCCUUCAGUUACCUCAAAGGUAAUAUAAUAAAUUGUCCCAGCCACCACCUGCUGCUUUGCAUUCAACACCCUCUUGAACUCCAGCACUGAAUUCUGCACAAAAACAAGCAUCGGAUCAAAUUGAAUCAAAACAACAAUACUUCAAAAAUAAUGUAUUCAGCUAAUUUUUUGAAUUUCAAGAAAGAACCUGUUUCUUGUUGUAGUCAUCAACAGCAAAACGAGCAAGACUGUCGAUUUCAAGACUGUUAGCUGUUCCUUCCACCUCCGUAAUACCACCUACUGUUGCCAUUUCGUUCUGUCUUUCUUUCUGGGAGUCUCUGCUUUUGUUGUCAAGAAAAGAGAGGAAGACGAAGAUGUUUUUGGAAA